UCGAACGAGAUCCACGGUGUUAGCAAUUACACCUGAAGAUCUAGUGGCGAACGGGUGCGUAACACGUGAGGAACUUGUCCCGGUCUCUGGGAUAACAGUUGGAAACGACUGCUAAUACCGGAUGACGUCGGAGCAUCGCAUGGUGCGCUGACGAAAGGGUUACUGGAUCGGGAGAGCCUCGCGGCCUAUCGGCUUGUUGGUGGGGUAACGGCCCACCAAGGCAUCGACGGGUAGCUGGUCUGAGAGGAUGAUCAGCCACACUGGGACUGAGACACGGCCCAGACUCCUACGGGAGGCAGCAGUGGGGAAUCUUGCGCAAUGGGCGAAAGCCUGACGCAGCAACGCCGCGUGCGGGAUGAAGGCUCUCGGGUUGUAAACCGCUUUCAGCAGGAACGAAAAUGACGGUACUUGCAGAAGAAGGUGCGGCCAACUAUGUGCCAGCAGCCGCGGUGAUACAUAGGCACCAAGCGUUGUCCGGAUUUAUUGGGCGUAAAGAGCUCGUAGGCGGUUCGGUAAGUCGGGUGUGAAAACUUUGGGCUCAACCCAAAGCCUGCAUCCGAUACUGCUGUGACUAGAGUUCGGUAGGGGAGCGGGGAAUUCCUAGUGUAGCGGUGAAAUGCGCAGAUAUUAGGAGGAACACCGGUGGCGAAGGCGCCGCUCUGGGCCGAUACUGACGCUGAGGAGCGAAAGCGUGGGUAGC
rnacentral:rRNA from 1 species